ensembl:lncRNA
AGGACAGUUGCAAAAGGGAAAAAAAAUAAAAACCAAAAAAAAAACCACGCAAAACCAGAUCACACACAGAGUGACAAAAAUCCACCUGUUGCAUUUCCAGCUCCCUUGCCGUCGGAGGGCGGUGCGGGCACGUCUCUCGGCGAGUGGGCACAGCGCUGCGCGCCGCGGGGGUGGUCGGGGCGGUCGCCCCCCGCCCUGGAGACCGGCCGGCCUUUGCACUCCGUCGUACUGCCACGGACUGCGCCCCGGCGGAGCGGGUGUCCGACGGGGGAGCCCCGGGCCGCGGGAAAGGGCGCUGCGCUCCUCGGCCGGCGGAGGAGCUCUUCUUCCUCUUCCUCCUCCUCAGCAGAAAGGCGGCCCUCUCCGCACCUCGCCGCCACCGCGGCCCUUCAGAGACUGGCGUUCAUCAUCUGCGGACAAAGUUAGUUUCCCGAUGUCUGUGGAGAUGCUGAAGUUAAGCUAUGCUGUACUCAAAGAAGUCCCUGGAGCCCCGUCUACCCGCCAUGUACCCGUGCCUCUCCCUCCCCUCGAUCCAAGCUUUUCCUCUCGUUUCCACCAUAGAAUGCUUCCAAUCUUUUUUUUUUUGGUGAAUUUUUUUAUGAUAAGAAAAUCUAUUUGUAUCUAUCCUAACCCCGUUGGGGAUAUAUUAAGCUAUUUUUGUACAUAAGAGAGAGAGAGAUUUAUAGAGGUUUUGUACAAAUGGUUUAAAAUGUGUAUAUCUUGAUACUUUUUUUAAUAUGUAAUGCUUAUUACCUCUUCAUGUUUAGACUCGUAGUCAGCGUUACCUUACAACUGCCAUUUUUGUAUGUGGUUUUGUAAAAGACUUGGAUUUCCUCCAGAUGUACUUUAGCACCAAUGUGUCUUACUUUAUAGAAACUUUGUUAAUGUAUUAAUAAUGUCAUUAAACAAUGUUCAAAGUGAACAAAGUUUAUGCAGCUAUUGUCCAAACGCAAAACGGUAGCCAUUUGUUUUCAUAUGCUGCCUUUUGGGAAAAAAAAAAAAAAAAGGAAAAAAAAGAAAAACCAGAGAAGCAAACAAACAAACAAAAAAAACCCCGACACCACUGCCUUUUCUUACUGUUUUAUUAAAAACUUACAAAGGUCCUGUAUAACCCUAUUUUAUACCAACUAGUUUCGUAAUAAAACUUUUUUAAAAUUAAAAUGAUCAGCUGCCUACCGCAUGCAGUUUUUUUUUUCUUUCUGCUGUUGACAACGAUGAAUGUAAGGACAGAAUGUUAAUUGAUGUUAUACCGGAGCUAAGUUGCAUAUGAAGUGUUUGUAUGUGAUGGAUGUAACAUAUAUAUCUUUAUCUAUCUCUAUAUAAAUAUGCAAAGAUGUAGCGCUAUCACCAUUGUUUUCUUGCCCUUCUGUGUUGCAAAUGUGUAUCCAAAUCAAAAGGCGAGGGGAUGAUUAGUGCUUGCAUUGUCCUUCCUGAAAUCACUGCACAUUACAGAAUUCUCCCCAAAGUCCAACUCUUAAAAAAAGAGGGCGCUCCAUGCCGCGUUUCGGCGGUGUGACCCUGUCCUCCUCCGCGGCUCUGACCCAACGGGACAGAAAAAUACGGGGGAUGGCACAGCCGCCGCCACCCAAAACAUGGGGCGCUGUGUUGCCUCUGCGGAGGCAGUGGCUGAGUAAAUAAAACCGUCGCGGGAAAGAAGGGAAGCGAGGCGAAGGGAGAUAAAAUUAAAUAAAUAAAUUGACUAGUAGAAAUAGGUGGCAGCGUAGAGAUAUCGGUCUUUCCAAACUUGUUAUUCUGCCCAAAUAGCGUGAUCUGCCUGUAAAAGUAUCCCAUUACCAAGACUCAAAAAGAAAUUGUACUCUUCCCCCCAUUCCCCGCUUUUUUUUUUUUUUUUUUGGCUAGCCUGCUUGUUGUCAGUUAGUAAGGACGUGACCAGAAUUCGCCUUCUUUUCGCCUGGCUCCUGCAUCACUUGCAAAUUCAGUUUGCGUGCACCAAGCCAAGCGGAAAGCAAAGCGCAAAAUGCAUCUUAAAAAAAAAAAAAAAAAAGAAAAAGAAAAAAAAAAAGAAAAAAACCCAACAAAGACGGGGAGAGCCAGUGUGUCGUACGGAGUUAAAAAGAAAAAAAAAAAAAUCUAGCCUGCUCCGCUACAAAUGUGCCGUCGAGUUGUGAGGGAUGAGCUAUUUUUAAAAAAGAAGAGGGAAAAACUUUGGUGGAGGAGCCCGGAAUUUUCCUUUCCUCUGUGUGUGUGUGUAUGUGUAACUAUAGAUUAGAGAUAGAGAUAGAGAUAGAUAUGUGCAAGGACGCAUAUGCACACAUGGAUGUUUAUACGUGUGUAUGUCAAUGUCCUUCCUGCAUUGCUUUAAAAGUAUACACACAUUUGCCCCUUCGCCUCCUCCCCCCAUGCCCUGAAAUGAUCAAUACGUGAUUUAAUCGCGGGGGGGGCGGGGGGGGGAGGGAAGAGAGGGGGGAGGACGGGACGGAAGGACGGGACACGGUGGGGUCACGAAAUCCCUCAUUACUUUAGCACAAACACUCAUUGUUUUAACCGCUCGUGGAACUAAUGUUUAGUUAUGAAAAUAAUAACCGUUAUAUGCCGCCAUCCGCUCUCCCUUUACAGCAUCUCCCUUUUUAUUUACCCACUUUUGCAAGUGCACAGAUAAGGUAUGCAAAGAAAGUGUAGCGAGUAAUUUAUAGCUAUGAAUAUAACAUUAGGAUAAUGUUUCAUUCUGUUACAAAGGCGAAAUUUCUCUUCCUUGUGUAGACAGGUGUUCUUUUUUGCUCACUUCUGAAUAGUAAAUAUCCAGACUCAUUAAACUAAAGGCAAAGUUACGCUGUUGUUCGCUACAAUGUAUAAGACAGGCUCAGAAAUUCACCACCUCCUCCCUCCCUUUUCCCCUCAGCCCCCUCCAGAAAGAAAGACAGAAAGAAAGAAAGAAAGAAAACACACACACACAAUUUUACUCAAGAUAGGGAAAGGGCAAAGCAGGAUUGGGGUAAAUCUCAUUACAUCUGCUCUAAUCGCUUAGCAACACAAAGCCUUUUCUUGUAUUAGCGCGGAGAGCCUUUCAGCGCUGCCUGACAGACAGUAUUCAGUUAGCAUUAGUAAACUCCAUAAAUCAGGGACUUCUUUGGGCGCAGUAUAAGUUUUAGAACUACUCAGGAUUUGGUGGGGGGGAAGAGGAGCGGAGAGGGGAUGUGUGUGCAGAUGAAGGUUGCUUUGCCACGGAUUUAUUAAUUUAUCUACCUGUGUGUUUAUUUAUCGUAAUGCAG